GCGUCCGUAGCCCAAUUUGGUAGAGGCGCCGGAUUUAGGUUCCGGUCAGUGCAGGUUCGAGCCCUGUCGGGCGUACCA
rnacentral:tRNA from 1 species